rnacentral:tRNA from 1 species
UUGUUUUACAUAGACAUAAUAUGGGACUCAUAAUCGCUUGGUCGCUGGUUCAAGUCCAGCAGGGGCCACCA